CCUCUGUUGUUAAAACUACCUUUGUUGCUUUGGCGGGACCGCUCGGUUCCGAGCCGCCAGGCCCCCUCACCGGGGUCGAGGCGAGCGCCCGCCAGAGUUAAACCAAACUCUUGUAUAUAAACCGGUCGUCUGAGUAAAAAUUUUGAAUUAAAUCAAAACUUUCAACAACGGAUCUCUUGGUUCUCGCAUCGAUGAAGAACGCAGCGAAAUGCGAUAAGUAAUGUGAAUUGCAGAAUUCAGUGAAUCAUCGAAUCUUUGAACGCACAUUGCGCCCCUUGGUAUUCCGAGGGGCAUGCCUGUUCGAGCGUCAUUACACCACUCAAGCAUUGCUUGGUAUUGGGCUCACCGUCCCCGCCAGUCGGGGGCGUGCCUCAAACACCUCGGCGGAGCCUCACCGGCUUUGGGCGUAGUAGAUUUUCUAAUAACGUCCUUUAACGGAGAGUGCUUCUUUGCCGAUUGAAGACUUACACGGCGAGUGAAGCGGCAAUAGCUCAAAUUUGAAAGCUGGCCUUCGGGUCCGCAUUGUAAUUUGUAGAGGAUGCUUUGGGGCAGCCGCCUGUCUAAGUUCCUUGGAACAGGACGUCAUAGAGGGUGAGAAUCCCGUAUGUGACAGGACAUGGCACCCUAUGUAAAGCUCCUUCGACGAGUCGAGUUGUUUGGGAAUGCAGCUCUAAAUGGGAGGUAAAUUUCUUCUAAAGCUAAAUACUGGCGAGAGACCGAUAGCGCACAAGUAGAGUGAUCGAAAGAUGAAAAGCACUUUGGAAAGAGAGUUAAAAAGCACGUGAAAUUGUUGAAAGGGAAGCGCUUGCAAUCAGACUUGUUCUGACUGUUCGGCCGGUCUUCUGACCGGUUUAUUCAGUCUGGGCAGGCCAGCAUCAGUUUCGGCGGUCGGAUAAAGGCCUUGGGAAUGUGGCUCUGCCUUCGGGUAGAGUGUUAUAGCCCAGGGUGUAAUACGGCCAGCCGGGACUGAGGUCCGCGCUUCGGCUAGGAUGCUGGCGUAAUGGUUGUAAGCGACCCGUCUUGAAACACGGACCAAGGAGUCUAACAUCUAUGCGAGUGUUCGGGUGUCAAACCCCUACGCGUAAUUAAAGUGAACGGAGGUGGGAACCGCANGGUGCACCAUCGACCGAUCCUGAUGUCUUCGGAUGGAUUUGAGUAAGAGCAUA
rnacentral:sRNA from 1 species